rnacentral:rRNA from 1 species
AGUCUAACCUGCCCAAUGAGGAGUUAAAUGGCUGCGGUAUAUUGACCGUACAAAGGUAGCAUAAUCAUUAGUUUUUUAAUUGGAAGCUUGAAUGAAAGGUUUGAUGAAAAAAAGGCUGUCUCUUUAUAAAUUUAGUAGAAUUUUAUUUUUAAGUUAGAAAGCUUAACUGUAAGUAGAAGACGAGAAGACCCUAUAGAGUUUCAUAAUUUUUAAGAUAACUGUAUUUUUAGAUUUAAAGUAUUUUUUUUUUAAUAAUUAUUUAKUUGGGGUGAUGGAAAAAUUGAUUUAACUUUUUUUUAAUARAAACAUUUGUUUUUGAGUAAAUGAUCCUUAUUUARARAUUAUAARAUUAAAUUACCUUAGGGAUAACASCGUAAUUCUUUUUARAGUUCUUAUCGAAAAAAGGGGUUGCRACCYCGAUGUUGGAUUAAAAUUUAUAUUUGGKGAAGGASCUGGAUWAUUAGGUCKGUUCRACCUUUGAAAUUUUACAUGAUCUGAGUUUAAACCGGUGUGASCCAGGUCGGU